rnacentral:rRNA from 1 species
GAUGAACGCUGGCGGCGUGCCUAAUACAUGCAAGUCGAGCGAACGGACGAGAAGCUUGCUUUUCUGAUGUUAGCGGCGGACGGGUGAGUAACACGUGGAUAACCUACCUAUAAGACUGGGAUAACUUCGGGAAACCGGUGCUAAUACCGGAUAAUAUUUUGAACCGCAUGGUUCAAAAGUGAAAGACGGUCUUGCUGUCACUUAUAGAUGGAUCCGCGCUGCAUUAGCUAGUUGGUAAGGUAACGGCUUACCAAGGCAACGAUGCAUAGCCGACCUGAGAGGGUGAUCGGCCACACUGGAACUGAGACACGGUCCAGACUCCUACGUGAGGCAGCAGUAGGGAAUCUUCCGCAAUGGGCGAAAGCCUGACGGAGCAACGCCGCGUGAGUGAUGAAGGUCUUCGGAUCGUAAAACUCUGUUAUUAGGGAAGAACAUAUGUGUAAGUAACUGUGCACAUCUUGACGGUACCUAAUCAGAAAGCCACGGCUAACUACGUG